AGAUAUUUACCUGGAGGUCCUCCAUGUUUGACAGCUAUUUUAAUUUAAAAAACAUGUGUUUUCAACCUUUGCCAGUUCACAAAUCCUUCUUUUUUACAAUGGGAGCAAAGCCUGAUCUGGGUCAGAGAUUAAUGAACUGUUUUGUUAUUGUUGUAGAAAUGGCCUUGUGCUUCUGGCUUGACCAGUCCUGCGAUGAGCAAGAAGUGGAGGAUUGAGCAGUAGCUCAGUUACCUCCAGCCAGCACCUGGUGGCCACUCUUCUUCCAGGGUGCUGGCUGUGACAUCCCGUUCUACUUCCUACCUGUCUACAAAUGUCGGCUCCAUUUCCCCUGCACCCUUUAGGUUCAAGAAAGACACAGAUUUCGGAGUUCUACCAUGACAGCACUCGUGUGUUGAAGACUACCAUGUCAAAAAAAAUGUGAAGAGAAUUUGGGAGGCUGAAGCAGUAGUGUCCCUUGGAUCUCCAUGAAGGGUAGUCCCAGCUACUCUGAGAUGAAGAGCAGAUGCCAGUACCUCCACAAAAAGCUGUCCCACAUUCAGCAAUGAGUAUCUGAAUUUGGCAAGCAGCAAGUGGAGUCCUGGCACCAGUCGUCUGCUUCAGCAAGGAAACAUCUGUGAACUCGGGCUGUUUUAUUUUAAAAGAAGAUUAAGCUUUAAAGAUUCUUCAAGUUAGGAUUGAGUAGAUGAUUAUUUGUUAAAAACAUAGGAUUAGUUAGUCUAAGAUUACAGAAUUUAGUAUUGAAUUUCAGCAAUAAGGAAGUUGCAUUCUUGUUAA